CCCCGCUGAAAAAGCGCGCUAUCUUCCGGCAAUUUUUUUUACUAUACUUAUUGAUUAUAAACGUGCUUUCUAGAACACACCACACACACUAAAUUGCAAUUUGCAUUAAAUUACAACAAAGUCCAAGUUACUAAAUUAAAAAAUGGGUGUCUGCAGUUUACUGAAGAAUAUUUACUACGAUCCUUUUAAAUGGUCACUAAUAAAGAGUAUCGCUAUGUUUGGAUUUGGUGUCGCCCUGGCUCUGGAAUUCAAGGGAGUGGACUUCAUGAACCCACCGGCAUAAUUUGACACUGCUGUCCUAGAAAAUUAUAAUUUUUAUUACAAAAUUCCAUUAUGUAAUAAAAAUGAUUGAAAAAAUUACUGUA